UCAGUUACUUGAAUGUAAUGCGUGUGAUUGCAGCUAGAAGAUGAAAUAGAAAUUAAUGGCUUAGCAAAUCCAAUUCUUCUCAAUACCCGUGAAAGAACUUUCGCCUUAGGAACUAGAGGAAUUCUGGUUGGAUGGGGAUACAACAAGACAAACGGCACCGUCCCUGACACUCUGCAGUACACUGCAAUCGAAGUAUUCGACAGCAGUUACUGUAUUAACUCGUACAACAGCAGCGUCUUAAAUCCUGCAGUUCACAUAUGCGCAGGAUUGGUUCACGGGGGUAAAGGUCAAUGUUCGGGCGACUCCGGAGGUCCACUAGUCGUAAACGGGCACCAAGUGGGAAUUGUUUCGUGGUCCGAUAAACCCUGCGCUUCUCCUGGAAA